AAGAAGUUCUUUACUGUGUGGAUGGUGAGACACUGACAUAGGUUUCCUAGAGAAGCUGUGGAUGCCCCAUCCCUGGGAGCACUCAAGGC